rnacentral:rRNA from 1 species
AUACGGAGGGUGCAAGCGUUACUCGGAAUCACUGGGCGUAAAGCGCGCGCAGGCGGCUAUUUAAGUUGGAUGUGAAAGCCUACGGCUCAACCGUAGAACUGCAUCCAAAACUAUUUAGCUAGAGUGUGGGAGAGGAAGAUGGAAUUAGUUGUGUAGGGGUAAAAUCCGUAGAGAUAACUAGGAAUACCAAAAGCGAAGGCAAUCUUCUGGAACACUACUGACGCUGAGAUGCGAAAGCGUGGGGAGCGAACAGGAUUAGAAACCCUAGUAGUCC